rnacentral:snoRNA from 1 species
GGAUGAUAUGAGGAACAUCUUAUACAUUGAUUGCUGAUAUGAUGGCAAUUUAUCAUGUAUUAGCUCUAUCUGAUCAUUC